rnacentral:rRNA from 1 species
AUUGAACGCUGGCGGCAGGCCUAACACAUGCAAGUCGAGCGAGCGGCGGCCGGGUGAGUAAUGUAUGGGGACCGCCCGAUAGAGGGGGAUAACUACUGGAAACGGUAGCUACUAACGCAUACUAUCGGAUAACCCAUAUGGGAUUAGCUAGUUGGUGAGGUACUGGCUCAUCAAUGCGACGGUCCCUAGCUGGGCUGCGAGGAUGAUCAGCAACAUCGGGACUGAGACACUGCCCAGACUCCUUCGGAGGCAGCAGGGGGGAAUAUGGCACAAUGGGCGCAAGCCGGAUUCAGCCAUGCGCCUUUUAUGAAGAAGGCCCUAGUGUUGUAAAGUACUUCCAGUCGGGAGGCUUUACCGACUGAAGAAGCACCGGCUAACGCCGUGCCAGCAGCGGCGGUAAUAC